UGCAUGUCUAAGUACAUGCCGUAUUAAGGCGAAACCGCGAAUGGCUCAUUAAAUCAGUUAUGGUUCCUUGGAUCGUACCUUACUACUUGGAUAACUGUGGUAAUUCUAGAGCUAAUACAUGCAGCAGAGCUCCGACCUUCGGGGACGAGCGCUUUUAUUAGACCAAAACCAAUCGGACUCUGUCCGUCUCUUGUGGUGACUCUGAAUAACUUUGGGCUGAUCGCACGGGCCCGUCCCGGCGAUGUAUCUUUCAAGUGUCUGCCUUAUCAACUUUCGAUGGUAGGUUACGCGCCUACCAUGGUCGUAACGGGUAACGGGGAAUCAGGGUUCGAUUCCGGAGAGGGAGCCUGAGAAACGGCUACCACAUCCAAGGAAGGCAGCAGGCGCGCAAAUUACCCACUCCCGGAACGGGGAGGUAGUGACGAAAAAUAACAAUACGGGACUCUUUUGAGACCCCGUAAUUGGAAUGAGUACACUCUAAAUCCUUUAACGAGGAUCCAUUGGAGGGCAAGUCUGGUGCCAGCCGCCGCGGUAACUCCAGCUCCAAUAGCGUAUAUUAAAGUUGUUGCGGUUAAAAAGCUCGUAGUUGGAUCUCAGUUCCAGACGGGUGGUCCGCCUACCGGUGGUUACUGCCUGUUCUGAACAGCCAGCCGGUUUCUCUUGAUGAUCUUCACCGGUUGUCUUGGGUGACCGGCAAGUUUACUUUGAAAAAAUUAGAGUGCUCAAAGCAGGCGCGACGCCUGAAUAAUGGUGCAUGGAAUAAUGGAAUAGGACCUCGGUUCUAUUUUGUUGGUUUUCGGAACACGAGGUAAUGAUUAAGAGGGACAGACGGGGGCAUUCGUAUUGCGACGCUAGAGGUGAAAUUCUUGGACCGUCGCAGGACGAAAUACUGCGAAAGCAUUUGCCAAGAAUGUUUCCAUUAAUCAAGAACGAAAGUUAGAGGUUCGAAGGCGAUCAGAUACCGCCCUAGUUCUAACCAUAAACGAUGCCAGCCAGCGAUCCGGCUGUGUUCCUCAAAUGACACGCCGGGCAGCUUCCGGGAAACCAAAGCUUUUGGGUUCCGGGGGAAGUAUGGUUGCAAAGCUGAAACUUAAAGGAAUUGACGGAAGGGCACCACCAGGAAUGGAGCCUGCGGCUUAAUUUGACUCAACACGGGAAAACUCACCCGGCCCGGACACAGGAAGGAUUGACAGAUUAAGAGCUCUUUCUUGAUUCUGUGGGUGGUGGUGCAUGGCCGUUCUUAGUUGGUGGAGCGAUUUGUCUGGUUUAUUCCGAUAACGA
rnacentral:rRNA from 1 species